AUUGAACGCUGGCGGCAGGCCUAACACAUGCAAGUCGAACGAGGGGCGGACGGGUGAGUAAUGUCUGGGAAACUGCCUGAUGGAGGGGGAUAACUACUGGAAACGGUAGCUAAUACCGCAUACCAUCAGAUGUGCCCAGAUGGGAUUAGCUAGUUGGGGGGGUAACGGCUCACCAAGUCUACGAUCCCUAGCUGGUCUGAGAGGAUGACCAGCCACACUGGAACGGAGACACGGUCCAGACUCCUACGGGAGGCAGCAGUGGGGAAUAUUGCACAAUGGGCGAAAGCCUGAUGCAGCCAGGCCGCGUGUAUGAAGAAGGCCUGCGGGUUGUAAAGUACGUUCAGCGGGGAGGCGUUACCCGCAGAAGAAGCACCGGCUAACUCCGUGCCAGCAGCCGCGGUAAUUC
rnacentral:rRNA from 1 species